rnacentral:snRNA from 13 species
GUGCUUACCUCGCGCCUAGUUCAGGAUGAUUGGGAAUACUCUGACUCUGGGUGGAGGCUCAUCAUUACACCUCUAUGGGUUGAAACUCACACUGGACCCUAAUCUGGUGCGCUUGGGCGCAUAAUUUUGGUUAGAUAGAAAUCUAA